rnacentral:rRNA from 1 species
AACCUACGGGAGGCAGCAGUGAGGAAUAUUGGUCAAUGGACGAAAGUCUGAACCAGCCAAGUAGCGUGCAGGAUGACGGCCCUCCGGGUUGUAAACUGCUUUUAGUUGGGAAUAAAAAAAGGGACGUGUCCCUUAUUGUAUGUACCUUCAGAAAAAGGAACCGGCUAAUUCCGUGCCAGCAGCCGCGGUAAUGGUU